UAUCCCAGCAGCCCUUGCGCCGCACACCUCCACAUACCGCGGAGUUGAUGUGUGUCAAGGUGUAACCCGACUCCUUUGUGAAGAGGAAACAGACACAACAACAAACCAGCCUGCAGUUUUAAAAUAUUUCUUUUUUUGGUGAGCUGUGCAGGUACCCAGGCCGAGGGCUUCAGACGGGGUGCAGCUGCUGCGGGCCAAGCACAGCAGAGCUGCUACAGCUGGCCGGGCGUACAGCAUGCAUCUGGGUUGCCAGCCCCCUCCCCCCCUCCAACCCCCCCUUCUCAGAGGAGCCCUGAGGCCCAGCCAUGUGCCACCACUGUGUUAAGAACAAGCACCUUGAUAAGGGACCCAAGGUGAGCCACUGGUGACAUCAGCAGUCCAGGCCAGCCAAUAGGAGCACCCCGUGUGCCCACGCCCAAGGUGA